GGAAGCAAGUUUGGACUCCUACUCAAACACUGGACCUGUUGAAGAAGAAGUGCCAGUAGAUAAGAUGGCUGUACCAGGACCAUUGCUUACUGACCUGGAUGAAUCUGCAGAGAUUGAACAAAUUCAGCUGGAUGUAUCAGAGAAGCUCUUCGUCGAUGAAUUGCCCGAUUUGGAAGAUGUGGAUAUCAGUGAAGCCUCACUGUGCAAUGAGAUCCUCACCAGCCAG